ensembl:lncRNA
ACUGUACAGUACUUUCGUUUUCUCAGUACUGAAACAUUUCACUUGGCUCUCUUUGUUACAGAUCAGAAAACAUUCCCUUCUCUGAUCAAGAAUGAAUCAAGGAUUCAGUUUUGGCAAACCUGUAGCAGUCAAUGUUACUCCAUCGCCAGUGUCCGGCGCACAAGUCAGUAUAUUUCCAGCCACCUCCUCAGACUCCAAUUCUCCUAGCACACCUGAAAACAUAACAACUCCACUUCCUACUCUUGGAGGUAUUAUACACAUAUUCAAACAAUCUUGCAAAUACUUAAACUCUUCACUUCAUAACUACUGAUUUUAUACUUUAACAAGUUCCUAGUGUCAAGUUUCAAGUGUCAUCCUUGUUGGAAAAUGAGUGGAGAAACAUGGAGUGGAGUGAAGAGUAAGUAGACCCACCACUUUAACCCUUUCAUGCAUGAAUUAUUAAACCAUAAAGUAAUAUUUUUUCUUACAUAUUUGUUUUUACUUUUAAACAAGUGACAAAUUAUGCCAAUAACUUGCUAUGUCAUGACAGAAAAGUGAAGUGUAACGAACAAAGGGUAGGAGUGUGUGUGUACGGGGCGGGGGUGGUGUGCUAUUCAUGCAUAUGUGAGCACAAAUACAAACACACACUCGAAUGCAAUCAUCCACACAUAUUCCUGCACUCAUACAGUAUACAUGCAUGCACUUUUAUAUGACAUAAUAAAUAUAGACUGUAAACGUUGAAACAAAUUAAUAAAAUCUGAUAAAAUAAAAUAAAAAAAGAUACAAUCUUAAGACUAUUUAAUAUUUCUGUUAAAUAAAACCAUUCAAGUGUAAAUGAUCAGUUAAUUAUCAUCAAGGGUAAGAAGAAUCAUAAUUUUAUAU